UUGUUAUACAGAUAGAAACGAAGAUUUGGAAUCCAGAUGUUUACAUAAUUACAAGGCCUGCGUAUUGUGGGUACUUAAAAUAUCCUCAAGCUAAUUCGGGGGAAGAAAUAUGUAGUGUCAAAUUUAAUGAUCGUGUCUGCUCUGUAGGAUAGAUUGCAAUUAUUCGAUCACCCAAGGAAGAUUAACCUAAGAAAGCAAACAAACAAGUAUGGAUUUCCAGCCCAAUAACGGAGAUAGGUCCUAUGUAUAGAUACAUCCAAACUUUCCAGAAAUUAUCGAACAUUUCUGAUAUUGUUUGCUAAGCUAGUGCUCAUUUCCAAUGAAGGCGCUUUACAUAUGGCAACCACAGCCACACAGGGCGCAAAAUUCAUCCUCUACUAGUGCAGACACAUAACUAUCUGACCAGAGGGACAGAGUGAGAUAAAGCCCCCAGAACAAAGAAAGAGAGAGAAAUUUUUGUUUAGAUACUGACCUGUCCGGCUAACUUAGCCUAGCUCUUUGCGAAUGGACAGUCUGGUUCUUUAACGUUCCCGGUGUAUAGCACCGAUACACGCGAAGCCGUCUUUCCUGGGAAGAAUCAGUACAGGCCUCUUAGCUAGAUGACUAGCUAGGUCCAGUGACUGGACCGGGAUUCGAACCCCGGACCUCUGGAUUGACAGUCAAGCGUGUUACCACUAGACCACCAGUCCACCUACUACUCAUCUACUACUACACCUACUAGAUAUUAUGAAGCUAUUAUUAUAAUAAAUUGACAGUGAAAAUGACGAGUCAAGAAUUAACCAAAAAGACAUGUUAUCCAUGUAUGGAGUAAGAGAAAAAUAAUGUUUUAUUUCUAAUUCAUUGUUAAUUUUAGAAAAUGACAUAAUAUAUGUAUUAACAGUAUCGGAACAUGAACUAGGCCCACAAAAAAUUGUGUAAAUAAACUCUCAAUAGUACUUGUCUUUCUAUUUUUCAUAUUGUUACAUACGCAGACAAUCAUUAUAAAUGGAGUGUAAUUUAUGUUCCUUGUGUAGAGACUAUGUAAAAGCAGCAUCAACUUUCAAUUACCAUUAGGCAGUAACUCAACUUUUCGCAUUAGGAGGCGUAACUUGCAUUUUAUCAUAUCUAAAUAAAACAUUCAAUAACUGUCAAGACGUAAAUGAGUUACCGGCAAGUAGUUAAUAAGUUUACCUGCACGGUUCAUUUCAUUUAAAAUCUAUUAGGUAUAAUGUUGUAAUUUUUAUAAUAGGCAACACUGAUGUUCUGCUACUCAUGAUUUAAGCAAUUUAUAUUAUGUAUC